rnacentral:tRNA from 1 species
UUUGGCCGAGUGGUCUAAGGCGCCAGAUUUAGGCUCUGAAAGGGCGUGGGUUCAAAUCCCACAA